rnacentral:rRNA from 1 species
GAUGAACGCUAGCUACAGGCUUAACACAUGCAAGUCGCGGGGCAGCAUGGGGGUUGCUUGCAAUCCCCGAUGGCGACCGGCGCACGGGUGAGUAACGCGUAUCCAACCUGCCCUUCACCACGGGAUAACCCGGCGAAAGUCGGACUAAUACCGUAUGUUGUCCAUUGACGGCAUCCGAUUUGGACGAAAGGCUUGGCGGUGAGGGAUGGGGAUGCGUCCGAUUAGCCAGACGGCGGGGUAACGGCCCACCGUGGCUACGAUCGGUAGGGGUUCUGAGAGGAAGGUCCCCCACACUGGAACUGAGACACGGUCCAGACUCCUACGGGAGGCAGCAGUGAGGAAUAUUGGUCAAUGGGCGUAAGCCUGAACCAGCCAAGUAGCGUGCAGGAUGACGGCCCUAUGGGUUGUAAACUGCUUUUAUGCGGGGAUAAAGUGGCCCACGGGUGGGCUUUUGCAGGCACCGCAUGAAUAAGGACCGGCUAAUUCCGUG